UCGAUCGCUAACCGUGCAGCAUGCAGGUCGAUGCACCGCGCUCGUCCACGCUCGCUUGUCUCCAUUUCCCCUUGCCACCUGUCAAGAGGCAACUCUUCGUAUCUCGUCGUACUUUCGGUCAUUAAUCUGACAUGUGACAUCUAUGUUGAAGAACGAUAAUUUACAUUGUAUAUUUAUAUAAUUAAACAGUAUUAAAUUUUACGUAGAUCAAUAAUAAAUUUCAUGAAAUCCAUGACUUUAUGGAACUAAAAAUUUUAACGAUCACUUUGUAAAGAUAUAAAAAUAUACUUGGAUUUUAUAUAUUUAUAAUAUUUCCUCAUUGUCGGGACAUUUGCUAAUACAUCUUUGUAAAAUCGGCGUACUAAUUAAAAUAUUACAUUUUACAUUUUAUUUCAAAUAUUCUCUUUCAAAUGAUUCACGUAAAUGGAAUUUAUUUUCACUAUUCAUUUUUCUGAAAAGUCAAUACUUUCUUAUGGGAAUACCUAUACAGAACACACGGUAUAUUAUUUUACAAUGCACAUGUAUUAAAAUAUAUAUUUUGCGCAAUAUAAAAUAAUACAUUGUAACAAUAUGCACAUAAUACAUAGCUGAUGAUAAAAGACAGCAAUCAUGCGUUAUUAAUCGUUACGGACGUAAAACACGAUAGCAUAAACCAGUUUCCGCUUCAUUUGAAAGCAUACUAAAACAACAGAGCCGUUUCACAGCGUCAUUAGUUUGACAAUACUUCAGGAAACUGUAAACUCGUUUAAAGCACGGGCUCGUUAAAGUUCGAAACACCGAACUGUUCUAAACGAAUGGAGAGAAUCGUAAAUCGUUCCGGUACAUAAUGCGAGUUUAAGAUUUUAUUUAAAACGCUAUUGAUUUCUCGCGUGCACGCGCGAUCUGGAUUGCUUCGGUACAGAAAUGAUUUUAUUACUUAAUGAAUAAUCUUUAAUCAUCUGCAUGCUAACUGCACAUUUCGUGCAUAUAAAACUCCGAUUGUUUAAUUUUAUCUCUAACAGGUUUCGAUUUUAUUGACGUUAGUGCGAACGCUAGCAUCAACGUUAUUUUCACCAUAUAGAGGCAACGCUCUACGAUAUCGAGGCAUUGUCGGGCAUACACGUUCGCGUGUAUACAUUAUGCAAAUUGAUUCCAUCGAUUGGCCGCCGGGCUUCCCGUGCGAAUAUAGACUUGUUGCACGUUUCAGUAGCUCUAUUCCGGUCUCUAGAACGUGCUCGUGUUGCAACUUGCAACUUUGCUACGCAAUUCCAAGAAAAUAAUGUCGUAUUAAGAAAACAACAACGAGUUUCUCAGCGAUAUCUAAACACUACGCUGUGUCUCGCAAACAUUUAUGUAAUAUGAUUGAGUCGCGCAUCUUCAUUCGAGUUGCGAAAAUAAAAGGAUACCUAUCACUUUGCCGGAACAUAAAGACUAGCAACAUUAAUUUUUGCGAUUGCGUUAAAAUGUCAAGGUUUUUACAGAAAUGAUGCGAAACCCGUUUCGCAAUAACGAAUUUUUUAUGUUAGUGCCGACACGAAUUCCGAUGAACAAGUCGACAACGUGUUUUUUUAUUCUUACGGUUUGAUACUAAUCAUGAAGAAAGUAAUCGUCGCUACAAGAUAACGAUUAAGGGUCGUCGUAAUUAUCUUAAGAGGCCUCUUCGUGGGAGCGGUGCUGUUGCCGAUUACUAUGUGUCGCCAACGACGGCGCCGGCUCUUCUUGCCACUAAUACGACUCUCAUUAUGUCAAGGUAUGUAAGCGCCUAUCGCGAGGUAUCGCGCCUUGUGUGUGCGUACACUUUUACUUGACUUGGAAAAACGCAUAAAUGAGAACGAACGAUUCAUGAAUGCCUUAAUAAUGGUCGUUCGAUAGCCAUUCGAAGUUAGGAGCCAUAAAAUGAACUGUCGGUAAUCAUGUUGUUAUUUUAUCUUUUCAUACUGCUUGCGUCAACGUUGCGCAAUUACACAAAAUGUCUCGCGUAAGCUGACAACCAGCAACAAAGAUAUAUGCUCCGUCCAGGCUCUGAUAAGACUAAUUUUUUAAAAAUUUUUUCCUGCAGCAUUAUUUCCUGAUGACUAUUGACGAUAUAUUAUCGCGUUGUGAAGCUUGAUAUUUCAGCUAUGAUCAUUCAAAAUUUCAAGGUGCUAGCAUGUCUGCAUGAUUAGUUUUAAUGUUAAAUGUGACUUCAUUGACGCUUGUUGAAAAAGCAUGCUUCGUAACACACGCUUACCGAGGAUUAAAAAGACGUCAGAGUAAAGCAUUGGAAAGACAUGCUAGGAGAUCGAUCGAUACCUAUUGAUCCGCAUUUCAUGAAAAACAUCGGUACUGGUAAUGAAAUAUAGUGUUUUCAAUAUGAGCCCCAUUUAAGUGGCACAAGAAAGUACGCAUGCAGAAGAGUUGAAUCGAGACAUUGCUCGUUUUCUUCGAUUUGAAAGGAAUCAAAGGUCAAAGGUGAACUCGUUAUUUGAAUGUUCUGAAUCGUUUGGAGCAAGAUUUUUCCUGUUCGGCCUGCAUAAGCAAGGAUCUUGAUUGUUUAUAGACAAUAAUGCAUGAACGCAUGAAUUCAAAAUUGUACGUGAUUUUUGAAAACGCAUCACAGUGCUCGUACACCUUUCGUAUUGGCUUCGUGUGACUUCUAAUUAUUCCCAAUUCAAGUUAGCGAAGUUACGAUAUCAUUCAUCCAAAGGAAUUUGAUUGCGAUUUUAAAGGAGAUCUUGAAAACGAAGCACAAUGAUUGCUUCGAAAAAUAUUUUAAUUGCUUCCAGUAUUGACUCAGAAAGAAUAUAUUCUGAAUAAAAAAGUAAUAAAAACAAAAAAUAAUUGACAUCUUGGCUUCGGUAUCAGCCACAUCAAAGUCUGGACAGUCUAUAUAUGUUAACUCGUCCGAGUUAAUGCUUAUUAUUUUAGAGUUAAUUUUUCCCUAUUAGAGUUUAUUGAAAAUAAUUAUUUAUCGCAACAUUUCUAUAUUCGCCAUUAAAUUAGUUUGCCUUUCAAGUCUUUGAUUAAAUUUGUUUUAUUAAAUUUCAACAGCAAAUUUACCACCAAAUAACGUCUCAUUAAUAAAUAUCAACAUUUUCCGAUCCAACAGGAAAUUAUGUAACAGUGUUGCAUUACACUCCUACAAAUCAUGUAAUAAAUAAUCGAUAAAGAAGACAUAUAUUUAUGAUAAAAAUGUAAAAAAUAUUAAAUUUUGAUUUCUUUUAUGUUUAAUUUCCUAACAGCUAAUCAAAUUUUUUAAGUUAGAAUCAAAAAAGUAAUUGACUACGACUUUUUUAUCGCGCUAGACUCGAAUGUCGAUAAUGUGUGCUAACGCAAUGGAAAAAAGAACGUCGAUUGCGCAAAUUCUUUAUUAUAUUCUAUUUUUAGAAUUAAAAAGCUUUUUUUAUAAUGACGUUUAGUCGGAAAUAUGCGGCGCGAACACAGGAACGUAUCCACCGCGAGAGCGACAAGACCAAAACGUUGACUGACGAACCAAAAAGACCGCAUCGUGUUUUAAUGCAAAGAGUAUAGUGAAGAGUAGCUAUUAGGAUUCGCGGUAAAUGAUAGGUGGAACAACAUCAUCGAUCCUUAUCACGAGCCCGACUUUGCUAAAGAGAGCAGCAGGCCGAGUUACCUCGCUGCUAGUUACCCAAGAAUCCUACGGGAUGAUAAUGAGGACCUACUAUCUCAUGCUAAGCCAACCAUAAUUACCCUGUUGGUAAUGUGCGGUUGUCGUCGGCACGAUUAGCACCGUCUUCUUUCGCGAGUUGUCUCAGCUUGUCGCAAAUUGCCGGAAUUGGGUAACUGGAUACGUGCGAGUUCUCUGACAGCGAUCGUGUUUCUAAUGGCGUUUUUAAAUUUACGACAAAGUAGGUGACAAGAAUUGUUUCUUUUUUCUUAAGUGUUGAUAAUCUAAUAAUUACUUACAUCGCUUUAUGAUAAUUAUCAAUAGAAAUUUUCUGCGCAAGAUUUUAUUGAAUGUUUCUAUCUACGUUCAUGUAACGAGUUUUUCUUUAAGGGAUGAUAAAUAGUAGAUCGACUAUUUUGACUUAUAACAACAAUCUUCUUGAAUUUUAUCAAUUUACAAAAUACUGCUUUUAAAUAUAUAGCACUAACACCUUGAUGCGAAUAUCUAUAUGCAUGCGUUCAUCAAAGUGCUUACGCAACCGCGACUUAAUUAGCGACCGUACUAAAUGAAUGUUCUAGGAUUUUAAUACGGCAAAAUUGCGUUAUAAUGAAUAUUGGUAUAACGAAAUUUUCGUUGAAUCAACAAUAAACGUUGAAAUGCAAUCUCUACUGCAAUGUACGGAUAAAUCAAUAUGAUGUAUUUUUAUUUAAACAAGCUUCAUGUGGAAACGAGGUUUGGUUGUGUAUUUAUAAUAACUUAAACCGUAUUCACAUUUACAUUCCUGGAAAAAA
rnacentral:lncRNA from 1 species